CUUGGCGUUGGGGCGACGCGCCAGGAUGGCGUUGCCCACCGCGUGGAUCAGGUGCGUCUUGCCCAGGCCCACUCCGCCGUA
rnacentral:antisense_RNA from 1 species